CAAAAAAGAAAUUGCAAAGGUAACGAAAAAGCAGAUGAACUAGGGGGGAUCUGCUGAAGGAAAGAAUGCCAACCCUGAGCAUACCGCGGUCCAAGUGUCUCGAAAAACUGUCUGGCUUAGAUGUCAACAACCUAAGAAGAUUCCUGAAGUGCACCAACUGGAUAUAGGCAAGCUGUAAAUAACCGUUAAGUAAGUGGAUAACGAGGAUCUUUGAACAAAAUGCAAUUUUCGAAUGAAUGGAAAUUAAAUAAUAUAAAAAUACAUAUAAAUGUAAUGACUUACCGCCAAUUAGCAAAUACAAAGAAAUAUUUUUUCACGCCAUUGGACUAUCACAACGAAGUAACUCUUUCAAACUGUGUACAGAACCUUUCUCGGUCCUAGCUUAUAUAAGAACAACUUCACGAGACUUUGCACAAACAAUAAAUAUUAAACAUUUCUAAACAGCAAUUAAAAUAAAAUUAUAGUAAAAUAGCCAAAACUUGGAUUUGAAAGAAUUUGCUGCUACACUGAUGUAUGACGGCACAAGCAAAACUAACUUUUUUUUCUAAAAUACAAUGUUUUAACAUUAAAGUUCACUUUAUCAUGCCAACAG